rnacentral:tRNA from 1 species
GGAGUUGUGGUUCAGUGGUAGAGCACUUGCCUGGCAUGUGGGAGGCCCUGGGUUCAAUCCUCAGCACUGCA